UACGGGGGGGGCAAGCGUUGUUCGGAAUUACUGGGCGUAAAGGGCUUGUAGGUGGCCAACUAAGUCAGACGUGAAAUCCCUCGGCUUAACCGGGGAACUGCGUCUGAUACUGGAUGGCUAGAGUGUGGGAGAGGGAUGCGGAAUUCCAGGUGUAGCGGUGAAAUGCGUAGAUAUCUGGAGGAACACCGGUGGCGAAGGCGGCAGUCCUGGACCCACGGCUGAACACUGAAAAGCGAAAG
rnacentral:rRNA from 1 species